GGCCUGGUGGUCUAGUAGUAUGAUUCCUUCUUAGGGUCCAUCGGUUUAAGAUUCAUUUGGAGGAGGUCCCGGGUUCAAUUCCCGGCCAGGCCC